UGGGGAAUUUUGGACAAUGGGCGCAAGCCUGAUCCAGCUAUUCCGCGUGUGGGAUGAAGGCCCUCGGGUUGUAAACCACUUUUGUAGAGAACGAAAAGACACCUUUUAAAAAAGGGUGUUGCUGACGGUACUCUAAGAAUAAGCACCGGCUAACUACGUGCCAGCAGCCGCGGUAAUACGUAGGGUGCGAGCGUUAAUCGGAAUUACUGGGCGUAAAGGGUGCGCAGGCGGUUGAGUAAGACAGAUGUGAAAUCCCCGAGCUUAACUCGGGAAUGGCAUAUGUGACUGCUCGACUAGAGUGUGUCAGAGGGAGGUGGAAUUCCACGUGUAGCAGUGAAAUGCGUAGAUAUGUGGAAGAACACCGAUGGCGAAGGCAGCCUCCUGGGACAUAACUGACGCUCAGGCACGAAAGCGUGGGGAGCAAACAGG
rnacentral:rRNA from 1 species